rnacentral:rRNA from 1 species
AAGCACCGGCUAACUCCGUGCCAGCAGCCGCGGUAAUACGGAGGGUGCGAGCGUUAAUCGGAAUUACUGGGCGUAAAGGGUGCGUAGGUGGUUGAUUAAGUUAUCUGUGAAAUUCCUGGGCUCAACCUGGGACGGUCAGAUAAUACUGGUUGACUCGAGUAUGGGAGAGGGUAGUGGAAUUUCCGGUGUAGCGGUGAAAUGCGUAGAGAUCGGAAGGAACACCAGUGGCGAAGGCGGCUACCUGGCCUAAUACUGACACUGAGGCACGAAAGCGUGGGGAGCAAACAGGAUUAGAUACCCUGGUAGUCCACGCUGUAAACGAUGUCAACU